rnacentral:rRNA from 1 species
AGUGAACGCUGGCGGCGUGCCUAAUACAUGCAAGUCGAACGAAGUGGCGCACGGGUGAGUAAUAUAUAGUUAAUCUGCCCUACACAGAGGGACAACAGUUGGAAAAGACUGCUAAUACCUCAUAGUGUAGGAUGAGACUAUAUCGUAUCAGCUAGUUGGUAAGGUAAUGGCUUAACAAGGCUAUGACGCGUAACUGGUCUGAGAGGAUGAUCAGGCACAUUGUAACUGAGACACGGUCCAAACUCCUACUGGAGGCAGCACUAAGGAAUAUUACCCAAUCGGGGAAUCCCUGACGCAGCAUCGCCGCGUGGAGGAUGACACUUUGCGUAGCGUAAACUCCUUUUAUCACGAAAGCGGUACCUGAUGAAUAAGCACCGGCUAACUCCGUGCCAGCCGCCGCGGUAAUAC